rnacentral:tRNA from 1 species
AAAGAAUUAGUUUAUUUAAACAUUAGUAUGUCAAACUAAAAUAAUUAGAUUUAUUAACUAAUAUUCUUUU